GCAGUCGUGGCCGAGUGGUUAAAGCGAUGGACUGGAAAUCCACUGGGGUCUCCCCGCACAGGUUCGAAUCCUGUCGACUGCG
rnacentral:tRNA from 1 species